rnacentral:lncRNA from 1 species
UCUCUCUACCGAUAUGAAGUGAUACGACGCUUCUGAGCGAAAGACAGAAAGUUUGAGACCAAGAGAGAGAGAGAGGAAGCGUGGUAGAAAGAGAACCAGAAAGAGAGGCUUUAAGGGAAACAAUGAAAACACAAAGUCGAACCCUCCCCAGUUCUCCCAUUUGCAUGCCUUCGUUUGGACUUGUAUCCACCAAUUUUUCGCUCCCCGGGCCG